ACUUACAUGUAGAAUUGCACCAGAGUUUGAAGUUGUGAGGGGAAGAGAAAUUUGAAGAGGUUCAGUUGCCUCUGCAAAAUCAGCAAAAUCAACUCCUACCUCUCCUACAAAACCCGCUUUCGAGGAUCCCUGUGAGAAUCCUGAAACAACAUUACAACGCCAUCGAAAGCUUCACCGAAGAUGAGACACAAAUUUUGCAGUUAUUUUCUUACCGUUGCCACAUUGAAGUUCCUUCUACAAUUGCAGUUUUCUCUAAUCUGGCUGUGGGCUUCCCAAUAUCUGCUGGGAUCAGAGAUAUCAUCAACCCUUUUCCUUUCAGCUUUGGCACCUGCAAUCAACACACCCAGAGGAUCCAGAAUUCAGAUCUCUCCUGACAGCAUCCCAGAUGGGCUGUCCUCUUGUAGCCUUGGUAUAUAGCUGUCAUAGAUGAAGAACCAUAAAUGCAAGGUAAGAAGCCUUUUUCUUUAUUAGCCUAAAAAAGUUUAAAAAAUUUGGUUCUUGAUUCGAGUUAAAUCAAUCACAAGUUGUACUUUAAUUAGACAACAAGGUAGGUAGCCAUACUAGAAUAUUGUAUUCCUGCAUGACAGAGUAACGUUACAAUCCUCAAAGCCGGUACUCAACUU